GGCUCCUUGUUGAGUAAAAAUAGGGAGUCGGACCUGCCCAGUGAAAUAUUUUUAACGGCCGCGGUACUCUGACCGUGCAAAGGUAGCAUAAUCAUUUGCCUUAUAAUUGAAGGCUUGUAUGAAUGGUUUGACAAGAAUGUAGCUGUCUCUUUAUAAUUAAGCAGAAUUUUAUUUAUGGGUGAAGAAGCCUAUAUUAUAUUGAAAGACAAGAAGACCCUGUCGAGCUUUAAAAAAGUUAGUAAACUUUAAAUUUUAAUACUAUGUAAAAAUUUAGUUACUAAAAAUUUUAGUUGGGGCGACUGAGGAACAAAUAAAGCUUCCUUUAAUUAAAUUUAAACACACAAGUUAUGAUCCAAAAAUUUUGAUUAAAGAAUUUAGUUACCGUAGGGAUAACAGCAUAAUCCUUUUUGAGAGCUCUAAUCGAAAAGAGGGCUUGUGACCUCGAUGUUGGACCAGAAUGUCCUGAAGAUGCAGCCGUCUUCAAAGGUUGGUCUGUUCGACCAUUAAAAUUCU
rnacentral:rRNA from 1 species